GCACUGCUGAAGAGAUCCACAAUAGAACGAAACGGCCGUCCAGUGC
rnacentral:hammerhead_ribozyme from 1 species